GCUCAAUUUCAUGGACGGAAUUGUAAAUUCUUGCUGCGGCGACGAGAAGAUAAUGGUUUUCACGAUGAACAGCAAAGAGCAAAUUGACCCAGCGAUGCUUAGGCCAGGACGAAUCGAUGUACACAUACACUUCCCUUACUGUGAUUUCAAUUCCUUCAAAUAUUUAGCAAACAAUUAUCUGGGUGUUAAGGAACACAAGCUGUUUCCACAAGUAGAGGAGAUUUUCCAUAGCGGCGCAACAAUGAGUCCGGCGGCGAUCGGAGAGUUGAUGAUAGUCAACCGAAGCUCCCCAAGCAGAGCUAUGAAGUCCGUCAUCACGGCGUUACAAUCAAGCGGAACGGAGGGAAAGAUCGGCGGGAAGGGAAAACGGUUGAGUGACAGUGCAUCGUCGCCGCUACGACUGGAGCCGCCGCCACAUGCGGAGGAGACAGGUGGCGCAAACUGGAAGGACUCUGUUCCGGGAGCGAAGGAGGUGCGUAAAUU
rnacentral:misc_RNA from 1 species